UAGUAACGGCGAGUAAGCGGAAGAGCUCAAGCUUAAAAUCUCCGUGCAAGUUUUGCACGGCGAAUUGUAGUCUAUAGAGGCGUGGUCAGCGUGGGCGCUUGGGGCAAGUUCCUUGGAAGAGGACAGCAUGGAGGGUGAUACUCCCGUUCAUCCCUGAGUUGCUCGUGCGUACGACCCGUUUUCUUUGAGUCGCGUUGUUUGGGAAUGCAGCGCAAAGUAGGUGGUAAAUUCCAUCUAAAGCUAAAUAUUGGUGCGAGACCGAUAGCGAACAAGUACCGUGAGGGAAAGAUGAAAAGAACUUUGAAAAGAGAGUUAAAGAGUACCUGAAACUGCUGAAAGGGAACCGAAUCGUUUCCAGUGUCUAUAAUCUGUGGCAUAUUUCAUUGGCGAGUGUGUGCGUGCGUGUGCUGUGGCAGUGGCUUUUUUGGCUGCGCUCGGUGUGUGUGCUGUGUGUGCUUGCUGGUGCCCUGUGCUGCGGUGGGACGUCAAGGUCAGUUCGUAUGCUGCGGGAAAUGGCUGCCGAGGAGGUAGGGCUUACGCUUGCGUUUGUCUGUUAUAUCUUGGUGGACGAGUAGUCGCGGUUGGGACUGAGGUGCCUACAACGUGCUUUUGAGUGUGUCUGUGUCUCCGUGUGCGCCGUGUGCGGAUAGCUUGCUAUGCGUGUGUGGUUGUGUGUGGAUUGAUGCGGGCUUUAACUUGUUGCCGUUCGGGACGUUGACGAAAUGGAGCGAUCCGACCCGUCUUGAAACACGGACCAAGGAGUCUAACAUGUGUGCAAGUGUUAGGGUGUGGAAACCCCAGCGCGAAAUGAAAGUGAAGGGCAGCGCAAGUUGUCUGAGGUAGGAAACGUUGUGGGCUUCGGUCUGCGGCGUGGCACUAUCGACCGAUCAUGAACCUUCGUGGUGAAAGAUUUGAGUUUGAGCACAUAUGUUGGUACCCGAAAGAUGGUGAACUAUGCCUGAGUAGGGUGA
rnacentral:rRNA from 1 species